UACAGAGGCCUCGAGCGUUAGGCGGAAUCACUGGGCUUAAAGCGUGUGUAGGCGGAUUGGUAAGUACCUUGUGAAAUCCCACAGCUUAACUGUGGAACUGCUCGGUAUACUGCUGAGCUUGAGCCACUCAGGGGCUACCGGAACAAAUGGUGGAGCGGUGAAAUGCGUAGAUAUCAUUUGGAACGCCAAUGGUGAAAACAGGUAGCUGGGGGUGUGCUGACGCUGAGACACGAAAGCCAGGGGAGCAAACGGG
rnacentral:rRNA from 1 species